GCGCACGUGGUGAAACUGGUAGACACGCCAUCUUGAGGGGGUGGUGCCCUAUGGGUGUGGAAGUUCGAAUCUUCUCGUGCGCA
rnacentral:tRNA from 1 species